AAGGAGGUGCUGGCGUAGUCCGACUAGCAGCAGCCGCUGCUCCCCGGUGGUUCAGAGCCGCGCGAGCUGAGCGUUUCGCCUACAAAAGCAUCUUCGGAUCGGUUUCCCACCGCCGAAUGUGAGCGGCGAACUCACGAAGGACUCCCUCUUCCCCUUGCUCUGGCUGCGUGAGGCUGAGGCUAGGGGACUCGGGCCUGCUAGGAGGGAAGCGGGUUAAGUGAAGGGGCUGAUCGCCUGGGCGGCACGGGCCCCGCUGCGGGACCCGCCUGCGCCUGGGGCCGCUCCUCCAAACUUCUCGGGCUUCGAACUUCGCACAUGCUGUUCCCUGGCCUAAGCCAUCCCGUAGUGAACCUGAGUUCUUAAUUUAAAAAGCCGCUUAGACAGUGGGCAGUUUCCAGCUAAAACACUAUUGUAUUUGUUUUCUUACGAUAGGUUGCUUGAGCCAAUGUGACUGGCUCUAGGAGGAAAUAAAUCACAUCUGUCAAAAGAGCCUCGAGUCGAAGGAUAGGAGAAACCUCGAAUUUGGUGGGUGCUGACCAAGGCACCAUGCAAGGGGUUAACUUUGCUUUAGGGGGUGACCUGGCUGGCUGCUGCAGUUGCCGUUAACAGCCACCGAAUGGAUGAGACUCCAGAUCCACCUCCUCCUGCGUUCCUCAAAACAGGAAGAUGGAGAACUACGGAGAGCUACUUCCCAGAGGGGCCGAUGGCAAGCACUCCCUUCAAGGAAACUGGGGAAGUUGCCCGAUUUUGAUCGUUUCCAUCCAAACACCCACCAGACAAUAUAUACAUACACAUUUCUAAAUUAACAGCAUUGGCAAAAA
rnacentral:lncRNA from 1 species